UACCUCUCAUCCUGUGCUAAUCCCAUUAGACUGAAUAUUGGAAUAGCUGAUUCAUAUGGAACACAGCUAAAAAUAGUGAACAGACUCUAAGAUCACCAUAUAACCAUCUAGGGGACUCUUGAUUUUGGCUCAAGUCAUGAUCUCAGGAUCAUGGGAUCAUGUCACAGGAUCAAGCCCCGGAGCUCUUUCCAGAGGACCCAACUAAAGACACUUGGUUACAGCAACGGUUUCGGGGAAGUAGACUCUGAUAUGGGAUUUUGGAGAUAGAUUGCCCACUGGCCAGCUGGCAAUGAGGACCCCACCGAGGGUGUCUGGGCCUGUAGAAGAGUCAGUCACUCUUGAAUGAAAGAUAAAUGGCACUUCUUUUCCUCCUGGCAGCUGCGUUCCUGCUCCUGAGCCUGGCUGUAAGGCUGAGACCCGAGUGGAGAGCCGCCCUCGAGAUCCCUCACGUCUUCUACACCUUUCUGUGCCGCUCAGAACCGAACAUCAAUUUUAUGGAGGAACAGUAAGUGGUCCCAUAUUGAGGAAGCCGGCACAGAUGGUCAUCAUGUACCUACUAGGUGCCAAGCAGUGAGCAACAGAAGAAUUCUUACCCUCUUGGAGGUUACAUUCUUACCGGAGAAGACAAGACAGUAAUAUACAUACAUAUAUAGACAUUUCAAGUCAUCUUAAGUGCUGAAAGAAAGAAAGAAAGAGAAGAAGGAGGGAGGGAGGGAGGGGGGAAGGAAGGAAGGAAGGAGGGGGGAAAAGAAACAAGAGAAACAAGCUCUUGGAUUGGUUUGUUAGUGCUGCCGUCACAAAGGAUACGUGGCCAGUACUCCUUAAGACCGCCAUGGUCAUGCAAAACACAGAAAAAUUGAGAAAAUAUCACAGACCAGAGGAGACUGAGGAAACAUGUCAACAUGGUACCCUACAUUGGAUCCUGGAACAGCAAUGGAAAAAAAUCAGAGAAAUCCAAAUACAGUCUGAAGUUUACUGAACAGUAAUAUGCCAGUGUGACUCGCUUAGUUUAGAAAAUUUACUGUGGUAAUGUAACUGGGUAAGAAGUAUGUAAAUUCCUUGUACUGCCUUUGCAAAUUUUCUGUACAAAAGUCCAUAAAUAAAAACAAAAAAGUUUAUUUUUUGUAAUGUGGUAUUCGUCUCAAAAUAAAUAGACCAAUGAGAAGAAUAGAGAUCCAGAA